AUUGAACGCUGGCGGCAGGCUUAACACAUGCAAGUCGAGCGGAGCGAGGGUGCUUGCACCUUAGCUUAGCGGCGGACGGGUGAGUAAUGCUUAGGAAUCUGCCUAUUAGUGGGGGACAACAUUCCGAAAGGAAUGCUAAUACCGCAUACGUCCUACGGGGGAAAGCAGGGGAUCUUCGGACCUUGCGCUAAUAGAUGAGCCUAAGUCGGAUUAGCUAGUUGGUGGGGUAAAGGCCUACCAAGGCGACGAUCUGUAGCGGGUCUGAGAGGAUGAUCCGCCACACUGGGACUGAGACACGGCCCAGACUCCUACGGGAGGCAGCAGUGGGGAAUAUUGGACAAUGGGCGGAAGCCUGAUCCAGCCAUGCCGCGUGUGUGAAGAAGGCCUUUUGGUUGUAAAGCACUUUAAGCGAGGAGGAGGCUACUAGUAUUAAUACUACUGGAUAGUGGACGUUACUCGCAGAAUAAGCACCGGCUAACUCUGUGCCAGCAGCCGCCGUAAUAC
rnacentral:rRNA from 1 species